UCCACUAGAAUCGGUCAAAGGCCCGACUUCUCCUUUAUCUUCGUCACCAUUGUUCACCACCGUUAUCUCCAUCCCGCAUAGAUCUUUAAAUUGUGGUUAUUGAACCCGGUGAAUAUUUAGGUUGAAUCAAUGUUAUUUUGAUUAUUCCAAUCGAAUAUUCCAACUAUGCUUUCUCCUUUGCCUACUUCAGAUGCUUAAUCACUAUGGAGUUAAAAAAUGGUAUAAAAAAAUCCCACCCCACAGUCUCUUCCUCCAAAUUCGGUAUCGGGUUAGAGUUGCUACUCUUUUGCUUUUUAUUUUAUUUCUCUAUCUAUCCAUGAAACCCAUGAUUACUUAUCUAUCUAUGAAACCCAUUAUUACUGGUGUUGUUACAUCCUUCCUCUCUAUCUCCCUCUGUUUCUUUGCAAAAAACAACCACCAUGAACUCCUUGGCCAAGUCCUAACAGUGAGCUAUGAAAAAAUGCAAUUUUUUUAAGUUUGGUUCUUCUUCUGUGUUCUUUCUUUGACUUUUGAUUUUGUGAUUUAUUUUCUUUAAAAUUUGUUUUAGUUGGACUUGUAGGUAAGAUCCAAAGAAAAGAAGAAGAAACUUAUUUAACAUUCGCACAUAAGGUGUUUGAUGUAAUUACUCAAAGAGUUAUUUGUUUGUAUUUUUUGUUUCUAACAGGAUAGUAACCUCUUUGGAAAGAGGUAAGUUUUUUUCUCUCUUUACUACAAACUCCAAUCAUGAUAAUCUCCUUCCAAAAUGACCUUGAUGAUUAUAAUUUGUUGAUUUGAAGUAGAGAAUAGAAAAUGUCUUUGGUCAUUGCAUCUAUCUGAUAGGAAUUGCAUCAUUUGUGGUGAAUACAUUAUAUGAUAUUAUUGUUUAGUGGUGACUUUGGUCAUGACAGAUGUCAAAACGUGGUGUUUGGCAGCUUCAAAAAUUUAUAGUGAGCUAAUGUAAUCUAUUUUCCCAUAAUUAAUUAAUGUACUUUACUUUUGAGAUAUUUAUCAGCAUUUUGGCCAACUGAUACAUCUCUCAGCAGGUUCACGAGAAAAAAAUGGUGUUGUACAACUCUCUCUCUCUCUCUCUCUCACCUUCUUCUUUUCUCUAACUAUGUGUGUGAUUACAAAACCUGAAAGCAAAAACCUUUUUAUUGAUUUUUGUCUUGGGCUUUUUUGGUUACAUGUAUGAUACAAUAUCUAUCAAUCUCUCAUGUUUAUGUUUUUUUUUCUUCUUACAGUCUAUUUAUUCCCCUGAUUUCUGAUCUAUUUCACUUGGAUCAAAUUUCCCUAUUCAAGUGGUAUCAACCAAUUGAGUGUCUUUCCGGGUUCUUACUUUAUACUAAUGUUUUAAAGUGGGCUAAACUAACUUUUUAUUUUUUUUAAAGAAACAAUUUUUUUUUUGCUUAUAUAGAUUAUGUCUUUGUUUGUUCGUAUAAUGGUCUUCAAAAGCAAUUAUGGUCUAUAUCUUAUAAUCCUUCUAAAUGUGGUUGUGGCCCUUUUAUGAGGUUGUGUGUUACACCCUUCUAGCUAUAAAAUUAUAAUUUUGUAUUUCUUUUUCAUUUUUUCCAAACAUUAUUGUAAUAAUUUGAAGGUGGACAUGGUGUUCUAUCUGAUACAAUACCAUAGAAAUAUCUUUGGGAUUCAAUAUCAAAAUUGCAUUCAAAAAAGCAUAAUUUGAAGGUAUCUCCUAUCAUUCUGAUUAUUAGGUCUUUUAAAUAACUGAUAUUUUUCAAACAUUUUGGUGCUCUUUUUUAAUAGAAAGAUCAUGUUGAUGGUUUAGUUUAUAUGAAUGGGGAAAUUCAUAAUUUGUUUGAAAAUAAAACAUGUUAUAAUCUUUUAUAAUUUAAAGUAAAUAAAGUUCUAAGAGUUGUCAAGUAGGCUGUUCUAAUAACCAAGUCAUUGUAUUUUAGAAUUUCACAAAAUAACAACUCAUUGUAUCCGUUUUUCUUUUCAUCUUUUUUUUUGAAAAAUAACAUUGUGUUCAAUUCCCAUUUGUGUAAAACUCAAAGUUUAUGAGCAUAAAAAUGUUAAUAAUAAUGAAUUUGAGAAAAACUCGAAGUUUAUUACUUGAUAUUUUAGUGAACUUUGAUUUAAAUUCGUUUUAAACUCAUUUGUUUUGGUGUCCUGACAAUGAGAAGCAUUGAUAUUCUCUUAUGGUUAUGACUGAUGUAGAGAAGAUUUAUUACAUGAUCGCUAAACUUUGGUGCUUAAAUUGCUCAAAAGGAUGAUGUCAAGUAACGAGCAGGGUACGUCCAAUGUGAUUCUUGAGGUAUAAAGAUACAAUUACUUUAGUAAUAUGUGGUUAAAACAUAUUAUACUCUCACGACCAUUAUAGAUCAAAUAUUGGAUACUAUAUUGUUGUUAGAGUACUUGGAAAGGCAUUUAUCGCAAGCUAAAUUCCAAAUUACUAUAUCAUUUUUUUUCCAUAGAGUACUAAAUAUUAUAUUAUAUCUAAAGUAUAAACCUAAAUCCUCCAAAUAAUCAAUAAAAAUUUCCGGUUAAGGCUAAAUGCUGGAAAUAGCAACAUACUUUCGUUUUCUUUUGGUAUUAUUUUUCCCUUUAUUAGAUUAUGUGAUUGGUGAGUUAUUUUUCUUAUACAUGUUAUGUAAUUCGAAGCAAUUUUUCACAUGGUUUUUUGUUGGGAUUACACCAAAACAGGUUUAAUGCAAAAUAUAGUGACGUAGUGUUUUUAUUUCUAUAUUAUAGCAUUCUACUUUCUUCAAAGCUUUUGUAUAAUGUAUCAAUUUAUUAUCUCAUGAUGUAAGUAAAAAAAAACCAUAGAGUUUUUUAUUUGAAUGGGCUGGUGUUUUUGCGUCUUGCCUCAUUGAAAAAAUGUAAUGUUUUGUUAUGCAAAUGUUCGUUGACUCUUGUGGUCAGUCAUAACAUUUGUUGAAUUUACUGGUAAUAUGUGUUUUACAAAUUAAACAUCAACAUGCUACAUAUUU
rnacentral:lncRNA from 1 species